CACACGCAUGACACACUGCAUAUCAAUAAGCGGAGGAAAAGAAACUAACAAGGAUUCCCCUAGUAACGGCGAGUGAAGCGGGAAGAGCUCAAAUUUGAAAUCUUAAAGGGUUUCCCUUUACGAAUUGUAGUUUAAAGAAGUGUUUUCUGUUGGAGUUUCGGUAAAAGUUCUUUGGAAUAGGACAUCAUAGAGGGUGAGAAUCCCGUAUUUGACCGUUACUUUCCAGCUGUGUGAUACACUUUCAAAGAGUCGGAUUGUUUGGGAAUGCAGUCCAAAAUGGGUGGUAAAUUUCAUCUAAAGCUAAAUAUUGGCGAGAGACCGAUAGCGAACAAGUACCGUGAGGGAAAGAUGAAAAGAACUUUGAAAAGAGAGUUAAACAGUACGUGGAAUUGUCAAAAGGGAAGCGUUUGACACCAGUGUUGUUUAGUUGAAAAUCAAUUCAAUAAUUUUUGAUUUUAAGUAGUAUUGACUUCAUCAGCUUGCUGCUUUCUUUUCGGAAAUUAUUGAAUGCACUUUUCAGUUAACAAGUCAACAUCAAUUUCUUUUGUUGUAAAAGGGUAAGAGGAAGGUGGCUUACGCUUCGGCGUAAGUGUUUAUAGCCUUUUACCUCUGCAAUCGGAGAGAUUGAGGACGGCAGCGUAGACCUCCUUCGGGGUUAGAUACAUUUGUGCUAAGCUAUAGCCUUUCAUAGACAACUUGUUGACUAUGAUCAGUCAUGUAGCUUACUCGCUUAUGCUAUUUUACCUACGCUUAGGAUGUUGACUGAUAUGUAGUCGUA
rnacentral:rRNA from 1 species